UGUUUUGACCAUCUCAUUGUUGCUAUGUGUGCCAUGCAGUUAGACUGCAUGUGCCAGUGGUGAAAAGACGUAGAGAUUUCGAACAGCUCUUAUCAUGGCUGCCAUUUAGAUACUUCUGGGUCAUUUCACUAACUUAGGAAUCUUUCUAAGCAAAAAAGACUAUUCGGACGCAGCCAAAGACUAUUCGGACGGAGCCCUGAAGUUGGAAAGUUUCCCACUUGAAAUAUCCGCGCUCAAAGUUCACGGAACUCCUACCAGGAAGUGCUGAAAGCAUUCAAAACAAACGUAGGCUACCUUAGUGUUAUCAGAGAAACGUCGUUUUUGAACGAUCCAGCACCAUCAGACGUUAGUUAAAUUUUUUUUUAAAACACAGGCACUUAGAAAAGCAUUGUAGGCCAACAACUAUGGAUGAUUCAGACCGCGUAAUAUUUACAGAAGGCGAGUUUUACCAGGGACAUUUUGACAGCAGGGAAUAUUUCAGUGCCUACUACAGUAGUCCCAGUAGUGGCGACGAUUUUUUGCCUUUUGUGCUACAGAAACUGCACGAGACAUUUUCAUCGGGAAACAUCAAAGGCAAGAAGUUAAUUGACAUAGGAUGUGGACCUACAAUCCAUGGUAUCAUAAGUGCAAGCAAAUACUUUGAAGAAAUAGUGGUGUCAGACUUCACCGACAGCAAUCGCAGGGAGAUUGAGAAGUGGCUGAGGAACGAGGAAGGCUGUUUUGACUGGCGUCCCACCAUCGAGUUUGUCUGUGAGCUAGAAGGCGGAAGCAGGUCACCAGAAGAGGUUGAACAGAGGCUUAGGCAGAUAGUGAAGCAGGUGCAGAGAUGUGACGUUCGGCAGGAGAACCCUUUCCACCCUCUGACGAUGGAACCAGCAGACUGCAUACUGUCUAGUCUUUGUCUGGAGGCAGCCUGCAAGGACCUGGAGACAUACCGGCGUGCUCUCGGAAGUAUAGCGGCACUCCUUAAACCUGGAGGUGUGCUGGUGCUCAUUGGUGUUCUCAAUGAAUCAUUCUACUUUGUGGGGCAGGAGAAAUUCUCUUGUUUGGUUCUUAGUCAGAGCUGCAUUGAAGAAACUUUAAGGAACCUGGGCUUUUCCAUUAAGCAGGUCAACACCCUGCAUCCAAAAGAAACCGACAAAGAAUAUUACGAUGCUGAGGCCUUUUUUUAUCUUGUUGCUCAGAAAACGAAAUAGGUUUGAGUUGCCUUAAGGAUUUUGUUUUCCUAUGCUAAGGCAUCUGUGAACUUACGGUAAAUGUUAGAGGAUACAAUUAGACAAAAACACAUUCACUGAGUUGAUUGCCAGUUGCCGUAGUCAAUCUUUAGGAGACUGCCUGCGCUCCGAAGAGAGUGGGUUCAUUACACAAUAACAGCCAGCAGAUGGCGCUCGCGGAAUACAGCAAAACUCGUCGGCAUUACAGGUUAUGAAGAGAGCAGCCUAAGGUUGGGGAGGUAUGUUCCACUUUCUGGAGGAUUUAUUGGAUGGUAAGCAGUAGCUAUCAAAAAAACCGAACGAUCAGCAAAUUUUAAUUUAAAUUGGGAUUAUUUUUGAUAAUCAGCCUUUGAAAAUGUUUAAUAAUAUAAUACAUUUACAACAAUUGGGAGUUUAUUUAGUUGAGAAAUUCUCGUUUGGUUCUUAGUCAGAGUUUCAUUGAAACAUUAAGGAACCUGGGCUUCUCCAUUAAGCAGGUCAACACCGUGCAUACAAAAUAAAUCGGCAAUCGGAAUGCCCUUCCCCCAUCAAUUCACCAUGCAAGUUGUGUUAAUAUUUUUAUAUUAUUUUUAUAUAAUUAUUAUUUUUUUAUUAUUUUUUUUAAAGUAAACUUAAAACACAUUUUUUCUAACUCUCUUAUGAACCCCUUGAUUUGAGGUUUUGUUGUUAUGCUGUUGCCCAAUCACUAUGUAUCAUCUUUUACAAUCUUUUAUGUUUUUAAACAUACGGUGUGUUGAGACAUCUGUGAAAUGCACUUUAAAUAAAGGGUGGCUUGACUUGUUCUGUGAAGUUACAGUAAAUGUUGCAGGAUAAAAUUUGACAAAAACACAUUCACUUAGUUUCACUUGAUAUAGAAUGUGAGAUAUUAUAUUACUGUGCAUAUCAUAUUACUUUCUGAAGUUAAAAAAAAAUCUGUUUCCCCCCCAAAAAAAUAUUAUUUUUAUAUUGAAAAUGGAUUAAUCAUAUUAAAAGUUUUAGCAUUCA